rnacentral:rRNA from 1 species
GAUCCUGCCGGACCUGACUGCUAUCGGAUGGAGACUAAGCCAUGCAAGUCGCACGUAGCAAUACGUGGCGGACGGCUCAGUAACACGUAGCUAACCUACCCUGUAGACGUGAAUAACCCCGGGAAACUGGGACUAAUUCACGAUAGGUCAUUGUUCCUGGAAUGGGCUAUGACCCAAAAGGCUGUGAGCAAUUACAGUUGCUGCAGGAUGGGGCUGCGGCCGAUCAGGUUGUUGGUGGGGUAAUGGCCCACCAAGCCUAUAACCGGUGCGGGCUUUGAGAGAAGGGGCCCGGAGAUGGACACUGAGACAAGGGUCCAGGCCCUACGGGGCGCAGCAGGCGCGGAAACUUCGCAAUGGGCGAAAGCCCGAUGAGGUUAAUCCGAGUGCCUUCCGCUGAGGAAGGCUUUUCUUAGGUCUAAAUAGCUUGGGGAAUAAGGGGAGGGCAAGUCUGGUGUCAGCCGCCGCGGUAAUACCAGCUCCUCGAGUGGUCAGGACGUUUAUUGGGCCUAAAGCAUCCGUAGCCGGCUACGUAGGUCUCAUGUUAAAUCCAACGGCUUAACCGUUGGUCUGCAUGAGAUACCGCGAGGCUAGGAGGCGGGAGAGGCGGACGGUAUUCCUUGGGUAGGGGUAAAAUCCUUUGAUCCAAGGAGGACCACCAGUGGCGAAGGCGGUCCGCCAGAACGCGCUCGACGGUGAGGGAUGAAAGCUGGGGGAGCGAACCGGAUUAGAUACCCGGGUAGUCCCAGCCGUAAACGAUGCGAGCUAGGUAAUGGGAUGGCUACGCGCCACCCCAGUGCCGCAGGGAAGCCGUUAAGCUCGCCGCCUGGGAAGUACGGUCGCAAGACUGAAACUUAAAGGAAUUGGCGGGGGAGCACCACAAGGGGUGAAGCCUGCGGUUCAAUUGGAGUCAACGCCGGGAACCUUACCAGGAGCGACAGCAGAGUGAAGGUCAGGUCGAAGACCUUACCAGACAAGCUGAGAGGAGGUGCAUGGCCGUCGCCAGCUCGUGCCGUGAGGCGUCCUGUUAAGUCAGGCAACGAGCGAGACCCCUGUCACUAAUUGCUUCCAUUACCCGCAAGGGUAGCGGGGCUAGUUAGUGAGACUGCCGUCGCUAAGACGGAGGAAGGAAGGGGCAACGGCAGGUCAGUAUGCCCCGAAACUCCUGGGCCACACGCGGGCUGCAAUGGUAAGGACAGUGGGCUCCGACCCCGAAAGGGGGAGGCAAUCCCGAAACCUUACCCCAGUUGUGACUGAGGGCUGCAACUCGCCCUCACGAAUCUGGAAUCCCUAGUAAUCGCGUGUCAACAUCGCGCGGUGAAUACGUCCCUGCUCCUGCACACACCGC